rnacentral:rRNA from 1 species
UAUGUAGGGGGCUAGCGUUGUCCGGAUUUAUUGGGCGUAAAGAGCGUGUAGGCGGCCAGGUAGGUCUGCUGUGAAAACUCGAGGCUCAACCUCGAGACGUCGGCGGAAACCAUCUGGCUAGAGUCCGGAAGAGGAGAGUGGAAUUCCUGGUGUAGCGGUGAAAUGCGCAGAUAUCAGGAAGAACACCUAUGGCGAAGGCAGCACUCUGGGACGGUACUGACGCUGAGACGCGAAAGCGUGGGGAGCGAACAGG